rnacentral:rRNA from 1 species
CCUACGGGAGGCAGCAGUGAGGAAUAUUGGUCAAUGGGCGUACGCCUGAACCAGCCAAGUCGCGUGAGGGAUGACGGUUCUAUGGAUCGUAAACCUCUUUUAUAAGGGAAUAACGUGUGGUACGUGUCCUCUUUUGUAUGUUCCUUAUGAAUAAGGAUCGGCUAACUCCGUGCCAGCAGCCGCGGUAAUACGGAGGAUCCGAGGGUUAUCCGGAUUUAUUGGGUUUAAAGGGUGGGUAGGCGGGCUUUUAAGUCCGCGGUGAAAGUCUGUGGCUCAACCAUAGAUGUGCCGUUGAAACUGGGGGGCUGGAGUAUGUGUGAGGCAGGCGGAAUGCGUGGUGUAGCGGUGAAAUGCUUAGAUAUCACGCAGAACCCCGAUUGCGAAGGCAGCAUGCCAAGCCAUGACUGACGCUGAUGCACGAAAGCGUGGGGAUCAAACAGGAUUAGAUACCCUGGUAGUC